GAUGAAGAACGUAGCGAAAUGCGAUAAGUAAUGUGAAUUGCAGAAUUCAGUGAAUCAUCGAAUCUUUGAACGCACCUUGCGCCCUUUGGACAUUCCGAAGGGCAUGCCUGUUUGAGUAUCAUGAACACCUCAACUCUCACGGCUUGUCCGUGAUGAGCUUGGACUUUGGGGGUCUUGCCGGCCUGUGGUCGGCUCCUCUCAAAUGGAUCAGCUUGCCAGUGUUUGGUGGCAUCACAGGUGUGAUAACUAUCUGCGCUUGUGGUUUUCCAUCAGAUAACCUUCAGUGAUAUGGAGGUUCGCUGGAGCUCACAAAUGUCUCUCCUUAGUGAGGACAGCUCUUUUAACGUUUGAUCUCAAAUCAGGUAGGACUACCCGCUGAACUUAAGCAUAUCACUCAGCGGAGGA
rnacentral:misc_RNA from 1 species